AAAAUCACCAGUGAGGUUAUAUUGUGGAAUUUUAUAAUUUAUAUGCAAAAUAUUGUUUUAUUAAAACAUUGGACUCUGUUUCGUCUCGAAUACGUACAAAUUAUAUAUUUUAAUUCAAACUGCAAAUAAUCGUAUAGUUCACUUUCUUAUCUCGACAAAACAGCUGUAAUCAGUGACAGAAUAUAAACAGCAGUAAAGGAGGCUAGGUGACACAGCGAGCUUGUAGCCCAGCUCUGGUCGUCGAUCUCUACCUUCCACCAUCGCCUUCACUUGACUGGAAUUCACUAUCACGCCGUUGCUGGCUAUCACCGUGGCCUUAGUCUUCUCGAUGUCGACGAGAUCCACGCCGCGGCUGCAAUCGUCGAUGAGGAUGGUGCGAUAACCGCUAGUGAGGGCGUCCACGGCGGUGGCACCCACGCAUACGUCGUAAGCUAAUCCGCAGAUGUAGAUGUCCGUUGCACCCUUCUCCUGCAGCUGCGACGAUAGCGUGGUCUCGGUCAGCUUCUUGUUGUCCCAGAACACCGAGUAUGAGUCCACCUCCGGAUUUGUGCCCUUGUAGAUCUUGAUCGCGCUGUUCACGAUCUUCAGUUCCUUGUGAAGUUCAGCGCCCCAGGAAUCCUGCACGCAAUGACGCGGCCACAGACGUUGCUUCAACAACGGCGGGCCCCGGAACGUCACCGUGUCGUACACUCGUGCUGCUUCCUUCGAGAUACUGCUGCUGAUGUCCACUUCCCUGUAUAAUUUCUACUGUGACUACCUGAGGUGCAAAUUAUCUAUAAAGGACACAUGAUCCACAGGAUGCCAGUCCAAGGAGUAAAACACUGAGUCAAACGGUAUGGUUUCCAGCAAACGAUUAAUUGGUUCGAUAACUUCUGAACCAUCAUGUUGCGCAGCACAUUGUUUUAUAUUCAGGGAACCUGUUAUAAAGUCGUUUUGCACAUCCACGAUUAAAAAAGCGCUCUUAGGACGUGUGCAUACUUUGAUCCAUCGAUUCCAGCAAAACUAUAACAUAAUAAAAUGUCAAUAGACGAAUUUCAGUAAAUUAAAUUAA